GAUGAACGCUGGCGGCGUGCCUGAGAUAUGCAAGUCGAGCGUCCCUGUACCGAGCUCCGCUCUGGUACGGGGUAGCGGCGGACGGCUGAGUAACACGUAGGAACCUGCCCCUCAGUGGGGGAUAGCCUCGGGAAACCGGGGGUAAUCCCCCAUAGUCCCUGAACCGAGCUCUGCUCUGGUUUGGGGUAAAGGGCGUAACUGCCCGCUGAGGGAGGGGCCUGCGGCCCAUCAGGUAGUUGGUAGGGUAACGGCCUACCAAGCCUAUGACGGGUAGCCGGCCUGAGAGGGUGGUCGGCCAGAGGGGCACUGAGACACGGGCCCCAGCCCUACGGGGCGCAGCAAUCAGGAAUCGUGGCAAUGGGCGAAAGCCUGACCCCGCGACGCCGCGUGCGGGAAGGCGCUCUUCGGAGUGUAAACCGCUGUGGUAGGGGAGGAAGUCCCGAGUUACUCGGGAUUGACAGUACCCUACUAGAAAGAGGUCGCUAACUGCGUGCCAGAAGCGUCGGUAAAACGUGGACCUCAAGCGUUAUCCGGUCUUACUGGGCGUAAAGGGUCGCGUAGGCGGCUAAGAAAGUCUUGGCUCAAAGUCCGGGACUCAAUUCCGGAAAGGGCCAAGAGACUUCUUAGCUCGAGGUCACUCAAGGGAGACUGGAACUCCGGGAGGAGCGGUGAAAUGCGUUGAUACCCGGAGGAACACCAGUGGCGAAGGCGAGUCUCUGGGAGUGUCCUGACGCCGAGGCACUAAAGCUAGGGGAGCGAACCGGAUUAGAGACCCGGGUAGUCCUAGCCCUAAACGCAUGCUGGCUAGCUGCAUUUCCCCGAGUUCUCGGGGGGGUGUGGCGAAGCUAACGCGUUAAGCCAGCCGCCUGGGGAGCACGGCCGCAAGGCUGAAACUCAAAGGAAUUGGCGGGGAGGCACACAACCAGUGGAGCAUGUGGUUCAAUUCGAGACGAACCGAAGAACCUCACCAGGGCUUGACAUCCCGCUGCACGCCCCGCGAAAGCGGGGAAGCCUUCGAGGGGUGCGGGACAGGUGCUGCAUGGCUGUCGUCAGCUCGUUCCGUGAGGAGUGCCCUUAAGUGGGACAACGAGCGCAACCCCCGCCCUGUGUUAUAUGUGUCACAGGGGACUGCCCCUCGAGUAUUCGGGGGGAGGAAGGAGGGGUCGACGUCAAGUCAGCAUGGCCCUUAUGCCCUGGGCUACACACAUGCUACAAUGGGUAGGACAAUGGGUUGCGAACCCGCGAGGGGGAGCUAAUCCCACAAACCUACCCGUAGUGGGGAUUGGGGUCUGAAACUCGACCCCAUGAACGCGGAAUUGGUAGUAAUCGGGGAUCAGCCAUGCCUCGGUGAAUACGUUCUUGCCUCU
rnacentral:rRNA from 1 species